rnacentral:lncRNA from 1 species
CUACCAAGCCCGGCAGAAAAACAUUCUUAACGUUUUUAAUUACAUUCUUUUAUGUCUGGGUUUUAUACACCGCUUUAGGUUUUUUCUGUCUGUUUCCCCUUCCCCCUUUCCUAUUUCCCCUUUGUUUUUCAAGCCAGGGUUUCUUUGUGUAGCUCUGGUUGUACUGAUGAGGCUGGCCUUGAAAUCAGAGAUUCCCCUGCCUCUGGCUCCCAAGUGCUGAAUUAAAGGUGUGCACCAUCACCACUUGUCCUCACUGUUGUCAUUACCACUGGUUUUUGUUUUAUUUUCUGAGAUAGGCAGUGUGCUUGCUUUGUAUUUUCUGAAUCCUUACUGUAGGUGCUGUGCCUCACUUUAUUUAUUAAGGAAAUACCAUGUAGUGCUCCAUUCUUUUUACUGGUUGGUUUUGUUUUCUCCUUUUUAGGUAGUGCUGGGAAU